GACGAACGCUGGCGGCGUGCUUAACACAUGCAAGUCGAACGGAAAGGCCCUGCUUGCAGGGUACUCGAGUGGCGAACGGGUGAGUAACACGUGGGUGAUCUGCCCUGCACUUCGGGAUAAGCCUGGGAAACUGGGUCUAAUACCGGAUAGGAGCCAUUUUUAGUGUGAUGGUUGGAAAGUUUUUUCGGUGUAGGAUGAGCUCGCGGCCUAUCAGCUUGUUGGUGGGGUAAUGGCCUACCAAGGCGGCGACGGGUAGCCGGCCUGGGAGGGUGGACGGCCACAUUGGGACUGAGAUACGGCCCAGACUCCUACGGGAGGCAGCAGGGGGGAAUAUUGCACAAUGGGCGCAAGCCUGAUGCAGCGACGCCGCGUGGGGGAUGACGGCCUUCGGGUUGUAAACUCCUUUCGCUAGGGACGAAGCUUUUUGUGACGGUACCUAGAUAAGAAGCACCGGCUAACUACGUG
rnacentral:rRNA from 1 species